rnacentral:rRNA from 1 species
CCGCAUCUGUGCAUGCAGCAUAUCAAUAAGCGGAGGAAAAGAAACUAACAAGGAUUCCCCUAGUAACGGCGAGUGAAGCGGGAAGAGCUCAAAUUUGAAAUCUUAAAGGGUUUCCCUUUACGAAUUGUAGUUUAAAGAAGUGUUUUCUGUUGAGGUUUUGGUAAAAGUUCUUUGGAAUAGGACAUCAUAGAGGGUGAGAAUCCCGUAUUUGACCUUUACUUUCAACUUUGUGAUACACUUUCAAAGAGUCGGAUUGUUUGGGAAUGCAGUCCAAAAUGGGUGGUAAAUUUCAUCUAAAGCUAAAUAUUGGCGAGAGACCGAUAGCGGACAAGUACCGUGAGGGAAAGAUGAAAAGAACUUUGAAAAGAGAGUUAAACAGUACGUGAAAUUGUCAAAAGGGAAGCGUUUGACACCAGUGUUGUUUUUCUGAAAAUCAAUUAAAGAACUGUUUAUGCUAAGCUGUUUAGACUUUAUCAGCUAUCUGCUUUAGUUUUGAGCUUUUCUUUAAUGCACUUUUCAGUUAACAAGUCAACAUCAAUUUCUUUUGCUGUAAAAAAGCUUGAGGAAGGUGGCUUGAGAUUCGUCUUAAGUGCUUAUAGCCUCUUGCCUAUGCAGUCGGAGAGAUUGAGGUCUGCAGCGUAGAUCCUUCGGGGCUAAAUGCAUUUGUGCUAAGUUAUAGCAUUUUAUAGACAACUUGUUGACUAUGAUUUGUCUUGUAGCUUACUCGCUUAUGUUAUUUUACCUACGCUUAGGAUGUUGAGUCAUCACACAUCUCU